rnacentral:rRNA from 1 species
UAAUAUGGGGGGAGCAAGCGUUGUUCGGAUUUACUGGGCGUAAAGGGCGCGUAGGCGGCCAGUGCAAGUCAGUUGUGAAAUCUCCGAGCUUAACUCGGAAAGGUCAACUGAUACUGCUCGGCUAGAGUGCGGAAGGGGCAACUGGAAUUCUUGGUGUAGCGGUGAAAUGCGUAGAUAUCAAGAGGAACACCUGCGGCGAAGGCGGGUUGCUGGGCCGACACUGACGCUGAGGCGCGAAAGCUAGGGGAGCGAACGGGAUUAGAUACCCCGGUAGUCCUAGCCUUAAACGAUGAAUGCUUGGUGUCUGGGGUUAUAUAGUCCCCGGGUGCCGUCGCUAACGCUUUAAGCAUUCCGCCUGGGGAGUACGGUCGCAAGACUG